rnacentral:rRNA from 1 species
AUGGGCGAAGCCUGAUGGAGCAACGCCGCGUGAGUGAAGAAGGUUUUCGGAUCGUAAAACUCUGUUGUAAGGGAAGAACAAGUACAGUAGUAACUGGCUGUACCUUGACGGUACCUUAUUAGAAAGCCACGGCUAACUACGUGCCAGCAGCCGCGGUAAUACGUAGGUGGCAAGCGUUGUCCGGAAUUAUUGGGCGUAAAGCGCGCGCAGGCGGUCCUUUAAGUCUGAUGUGAAAGCCCACGGCUCAACCGUGGAGGGUCAUUGGAAACUGGGGGACUUGAGUGCAGAAGAGGAAAGUGGAAUUCCAAGUGUAGCGGUGAAAUGCGUAGAGAUUUGGAGGAACACCAGUGGCGAAGGCGACUUUCUGGUCUGUAACUGACGCUGAGGCGCGAAAGCGUGGGGAGCAAACAGGAUUAGAUACCCUGGUAGUCCACGCCGUAAACGAUGAGUGCUAAGUGUUAGGGGGUUUCCGCCCCUUAGUGCUGCAGCUAACGCAUUAAGCACUCCGCCUGGGGAGUACGGUCGCAAGACUGAAACUCAAAGGAAUUGACGG